AACGAACGCUGGCGGCAUGCCUAACACAUGCAAGUCGAACGAGACCUUCGGGUCUAGUGGCGCACGGGUGCGUAACGCGUGGGAAUCUGCCCUUAGGUACGGAUAACUCAGGGAAACUUGAGCUAAUACCGUAUAAUGACUUCGGUCCAAAGAUUUAUCGCCUAAGGAUGAGCCCGCGUCGGAUUAGCUAGUUGGUUGAGGUAAAAGCUCACCAAGGCGACGAUCCGUAGCUGGCUGAGAGGAUGAUCAGCCACACUGGGACUGAGACACGGCCCAGACUCCUACGGGAGGCAGCAGUGGGGAAUAUUGGACAAUGGGCGAAAGCCUGAUCCAGCAAUGCCGCGUGAGUGAUGAAGGCCUUA
rnacentral:rRNA from 1 species